CUUGGAUAAUUUAAAAGUAGUAGUUCAUUCAGUCUCGCAGAAUGAGUUUGUGAGCAGUAAGUUGACAGAAAAACUGGAGCAGCAGAUGCGGGAUUCUUUGGCUUUGUGUCCAUAGGGGGUAUGCCAGUGUGGUGUAAUCAACUUAUGGCUUCUUGCCCCUUUUUAUUUAGUUUUGAGGCAAGAUGUAAGUACUUCCGGUUGUCAGCAUUUGGACCUCAG
rnacentral:misc_RNA from 1 species